AUGAUGUUUCAAAACAAAAACCAAACCCAAUGUAGCAAUAUAUUAGUGUCAACACAUAAGCAUAGCACAAAUUUCAGGUCCAAAAUUAUUAUGACAUUCAUUUAUCAUGCUAAAUAAACCAGCUUAAUACACAGCAUCCCCCAACUCAAAGCUUGAAAUGUUCAAGAGCUGAGAUGCCAUCAAGCCCUUUUGCAUUGUAGUAGGCUACAAAAUCUGUAAAAGUGGUUUCUCUAUAUCUUGGAGGGUUGUCUUCUGAUAAAAUUUCUUUUAUAGGUCCAUAGAGCUUUUCUUGUGCUCUAGGACCUGCCCUGAAAAAAGAUGCAACAGAUACUCUUGGACCAAUAGUAUUUGCUAGUACUCUGUGCUCAACACUCUUGAAUCUGUCAUUUGUUAUAAGCUGCAAACAUCACCAAUAUUAAUAACAAGAGCCUCAGGUAUUGGUGGUACAUCAAUCCACUUUCCCUUGUGAAGAACUUGAAGGCCACCAAUAUGGUCUUGAAGAAGCACUGUGAGGAAACUACUAUCAGAAUGUUUGGCGGUUCCCAUCGUUAAAUGUGGUUCAGGACAAGCAGGAUAGUAAUGGCAAAGUAACAAAUUCCCCUCAGAACA
rnacentral:lncRNA from 1 species